rnacentral:lncRNA from 1 species
UAUUUCAAGCAGCUGGGAUACCUGUGUCACUCCUGCUGUCUGCCAGUGACUGCCCAGGUGUCUGCUGGUUCCUCCCCAGGAGUAGGGAGGAACCAGGUGGGCUGGCUGGGAUGGGUGGAUAUUUAAAGACCAGGCCUUGGACGCCGCAGCACUUCUAUCUCUGCUUGAUGCCUGCUGCCACGUGGCUGGUCCUCCUCCUCUUGCUGUGGCUGAGCCCUGGGGUGAAGACAGGCUGGAGUGCAGUGGCGUGAUCUCAGCUCACUGCGACCUCUGCCUCCUGGGUUCAAGAGAUUCUCGUGCCUCAGCCUCCUGAGUAGCUGGGACUACAGGCAGCUAUUCCCAACCCCAGAACCUUUGCUGUCUUGGAACAGAUCACCACUGCAAGAGGGGAAGUUGCUACUGUGAUGAAUUCUGCCAUGUGGUACCAGACUGCUACCCAGACCACAGUGUCCUCUGCAACCCUCGUAACUCACAUACAGGCCUGAUUCCACCUACAGCAAAGCUGGAUGCUAUGGUUGGCAGAGGCAAACCCUUUGCCUGCACUUCAGGCCAAAGCCGGGAUGUGGCCUAGAUGGUUCCUAAGGUCCCUGACAAUCCUGAGAUCUUGCAUCUUGUCUAUUUCAGGUCAAAGCUUCUCAGAUGACCAAGAUGGUGCUGCAGAUGGUGCUGAGGAUGGAGAACCCACCAAGCCC